UUUCCGUAGGUGAACCUGCGGAAGGAUCAUUAAUGAGUUGUCAUGGGGUUCGAUGCUGGCAGCCAAUUUUUGGAUGCAUGUGCUUGCCCUAACAAUCAUCUUCCAAACACCUGUGCACAUUUUUGAGGAUGUCUUGAGUUGGUUGCCGCUCUUGGGUGAUUUUCUCACAUUCCCUUAAAUCAUUAUACGCUAUUAACAAUGUUGAACGUGCUCUGUGCCGCAAGGCUAUUAAUAUAAUACAACUUUUAACAACGGAUCUCUUGGCUCUC
rnacentral:misc_RNA from 1 species